AUGGUUAGGAGUGUACCGAUUGGUGAGAAGCUCUUCAUAGGAGGAGACCUCAAUGGCCACGUGGGUACAUCUAACACAGGUUUUGAAGGGGCGCAUGGGGGCUUUGGCUAUGGCAUCAGGAAUCAAGAAGGAGAAGAUGUCUUAAGCUUUGCUCUAGCCUACAACAUGAUUGUAGCUAACACCCUCUUUAGAAAGAGAGAAUCACAUCUGGUGACUUUUAGUAGUGGCCAACACUCUAGCCAGAUUGAUUUCAUCCUCUCGAGAAGAGAAGAUAGGUGUGCGUGCCUAGACUGUAAGGUGAUACCUGGGGAGAGUGUUGUACCCCAGCAUAAGCUGGUGGUUGCUGACUUCCGCUUUCGGAUUCGUGUCCAGCGGGAUAAGCGUGCCAAGGUCGCUAGAACGAAGUGGUGGAAGCUCAAGGGGGAGGUAGCUCAGGUGUUCAAGGAGAGGGUAUUUAAGGAGGGCCCUUGGGAGGAAGGAGGGGAUGCGGACAAUGUGUGGAUGAAGAUGGCGACUUGCAUUCGUAAGGUGGCCUCGGAGGAGUUUGGAGUGUCCAGGGGAAGGAGAAGCGAAGAUAAGGAUACCUGGUGGUGGAAUGAUGAUGUCCAGAAGGCGCUUAAAGAGAAGAAAGAUUGCUUCAGACGCCUAUACCUGGAUAGGAGUGCAGACAACAUAGAGAAGUACAAGAUGGCGAAGAAGGCCGCAAAGCGAGCUGUUGGUGAAGCAAGGGGUCGGGCAUAUGAGGACCUCUACCAACGGUUAGGCACAAAGGAAGGUGAAAGGGACAUCUAUAAGAUGGCUAAGAUCCGGGAGAGGAAGACGAGGGAUAUUGGCCAAGUCAAAUGCAUCAAGGACAGAGCAGGCCAACUCUUGGUGAAGGACGAAGAGAUUAAGCAUAGAUGGCGGGAGUACUUCGACAAGCUGUUCAAUGGGGAGAAUGAGAGUUCUACCAUUGAACUGAAUGACUCCUUUGAUGAGACCAGCAUGCGUUUUGUGCGGCGCAUCCAGGAGUCUGAGGUGAAGGAGGCUUUAAAAAGGAUGAAAGGAGGCAAGGCGAUGGGCCCUGAUUGUAUCCCCAUUGAGGUGUGGAAAGGUCUCGGGGACAUAGCGAUAGUAUGGCUAACCAAGCUUUUCAACCUCAUUUUUCGGGCAAACAAGAUGCCAGAAGAAUGGAGACGGAGUAUAUUAGUACCAAUCUUCAAGAACAAGGGGCAUGUUCAGAGUUGUACUAAUUACCGUGGAAUUAAGCUGAUGAGCCAUACAAUGAAGCUAUGGGAGAGAGUCAUUGAGCACCGCUUAAGAAGAAUGACAAGCGUGACCAAAAAUCAGUUUGGUUUCAUGCCUGGGAGGUCGACCAUGGAAGCCAUUUUCUUGGUACGACAACUUAUGGAGAGAUAUAGGGAGCAUAAGAAGGACUUGCAUAUGGUGUUCAUUGACUUGGAGAAGGCCUAUGAUAAGAUACCGCGGAAUGUCAUGUGGUGGGCCUUGGAGAAGCACAAAGUCCCAGCAAAGUACAUUACCCUCAUCAAGGACAUGUACAAUAAUGUUGUGACAAGUGUUCGAACAAGUGAUGUCGACACCGAUGACUUCCCGAUUAAGAUAGGACUGCACCAGGGGUCAGCUUUGAGCCCUUAUCUUUUUGCAUUGGUGAUGGAUGAGGUCACAAGGGGUAUACAAGGAGAUAUCCCAUGGUGUAUGCUCUUUGCGGAUGAUGUGGUGCUAGUUGACGAUAGUCGGACGGGGGUAAAUAGGAAGUUAGAGUUAUGGAGACAAACCUUGGAAUCGAAAGGGUUUAGGCUUAGUAGAACUAAAACCGAGUACAUGAUGUGCGGUUUCAGUACUACUAGCUGUGAGGAGGAGGAGGUUAGCCUUGAUGGACAGGUGGUACCUCGGAAGGACACCUUUCGGUAUUUGGGGUCAAUGUUGCAGGAGGAUGGGGGUAUUGAUGAAGAUGUGAACCAUCGAAUCAAAGCCGGAUGGAUGAAGUGGCGCCAAGCUUCUGGCAUUCUCUGUGACAAGAGAGUGCCACAAAAGCUAAAAGGCAAGUUCUACAGGACAGUGGUUCGACCCGCAAUGUUGUAUGGCGCGGAGUGUUGGCCGACUAAAAGGCGACAUGUUCAACAGUUAGGUGUGGCGGAGAUGCGUAUGUUGAGAUGGAUUUGUGGCCACACGAGGAAGGAUCGAGUCCAGAAUGAUGAUAUACGAGAUAGAGUUGGGGUAGCACCAAUUGAGGAGAAGCUUGUCCAACAUCAUUUGAGAUGGUUUGGGCAUAUUCAGCGCAGGCCUCCAGAAGCUCCAGUGCAUAGUGGACGGCUAAAGCGUGCGGAGAAUGUCAAGAGAGGGCGGGGUCGACCGAUUUUGACAUGGGAGGAGUCCGUUAAGAGAGACCUGAAGGAUUGGAGUAUCGACAAAGAGCUAGCUAUGGACAGGGGUGCGUGGAAGCUUGCUAUCCAUGUGCCAGAGCCAUGA
rnacentral:rRNA from 1 species